AUUAUCCUAAUCGGGAGGGCCCACCUGUAGAGAAAAAAGGGAGGAAAUUCUGUGCACCUACCGGCGCUAUUAACAGGUAACGGCAAAAUAUGGCAGGUUUGGUUGUUGCAUGGACGCCAAAUAUGCCAAGCUUGCCUGCCCUCCUCAGGGAGGAUCAAAAUUCAGAACUCUGAUCCCCUGCAGACGCGCCCCACUACACCCGCACCCAUCAGGAAACAUCAGACCCAAUCAGAUUGGAAAACCUCACAAUCAAUCGUUGCCAAAACCUAAACCCCUUUUGACUCUGGUGCGAGUGACCGCAGGCCACAAUUCCUCCUCGUAUCGUCUUCGUUGUCACAGAAAUGGCUCUGACUCACACUCGCUCACUCGUAUAUAUACUGGAUGUCCUUAUCUUUCAACACUUUCUCUGCCCCUCUCUCUCUCGUUUGCUCUCUCUGUUCUCUCUGUCUCGUUUGCUCUCUCUGUUUCUCUCUGUCUCAUUUGCUCUCUCAUUCUCUCUCACUCUUUGUGUUGCUUCAAUGGCUUCAAUGGCUUCCGAGCACUGCUUCUUCUGCAAGGCUGAGAUUGCUGAGUUCAUUACUGGCUGGCCGCUGAAAGAUGGCUCUUUCGCUAAGCUCUGCGGGAAAUGCGGUUAUGCUUAUAUACAUGAUCAGUUUUGUGAAACUUUUCAUGCCAAGUCUGAUGGAUGGAGACACUGUGAUGGCUGCAAGAAGCGACUCCACUGUGGAUGCAUUAUGUCAUGCCACACGUACACGGAACUGGAUUAUGGAGGUGUAGGUUGCAGUAAAUGCUUAUUGCGAAGUAAAAAAUCUAUGGAGUCAGCUGCCAAUGAAGGGACGUAUUUAACAACAUUAUCUGAUUCUGAUACCCAUUCUGUGGUAUCUAAUGAGAUAAUUGCUGAAUGCUGUUCUCCUGGAUCAUCUAAAGGAAAAGCUUCUGCACUUAUUGGAGAAAACUCUAAUGUGGAUUCUAGUGGACAUACAGGUUGUGAACAAGGAGUAGAGAGUGAAACGCCACGAGUGGAUGCCUCUACUCAAAACCAUUUAUCGAACAUUGAUGCUAUACCUCUGUUUGAGAAGUCAUUAACCGCAAGUGAUACUUUCCUGAAUACAGCACGUCUAGUGAUACCAAAGAAAUGUGCAGAGGCCCAUUUUCCAAAAAUUUCUGAAACACAAGGAUUCCCCAUCGUAAUUCAGGAUUACACAGGCAGGGACUGGAAAUUUCAAUAUCGUUGCUGGCAAAAUAGUAACAGCAAAAAGAUGUAUGUAUUAGAAGGGCUCAAGGAUUACAUGAUCUUAAAUCAGUGGCAAGUUGGGGACACAGUGACGUUUCAUCGAACAGAACAAGAAGGAAAACUGAUUAUUGGAACAAAAAAGAUGCCAGCUUCUAUUGCUUCUAUUCAAGCUCUUAAGGAAAAAAUUUGGAAACUACUAGGCUGAAGGGAGACCAGAUACUAUACUGAUGUUCUAAAGCAAGUUCUUAUCCUCUCCCAGGACCAAGUGAACCUUGUGCUUUGUUGGAUGCUUGAAGGUCUUUAUGCUCAUUCAGUCAUGAACCUAGUGUGUCAGUGUCACGGAGACCUUCCUCUUAGGCUUAUCAAACUCUCUGAGCUUACAAAGCCAAAAAGAAUUAUAGAAGACCAGAUUCUAUGAACUUAUCUUACAUGGGUGCUUAUAUAACAUAUUGCUGAAGCUGUCUGCCUGCAACGGUCUGCUGCUUUUUGAGUUCACGCUCGUCUCUACCUCAGAAAAGCUUGCAGUGUGACAUUUUGCGGUUUGGAGAUUGAUUUAUUUCUAGUCCUGUAAGACCAAAAGGAACCUGCAGAUGGUAUCAUUUUUACAGGAUGCAAGACCAAAGAAGCCCACAUUCAUGGUGUAUAUCGUGUACUUGCUAAGCUUGUCUGUGUGAGAUACGUAUUGGAGGAUACAAGUUUGCCCAGAAAAAUGGUUGGCAAAUUUUCAACCACGUCAUGCAUAACCUUGUUUGCCCCUAAAGCUAUUCUUGGAAUGUUAGAAUUACAUAAGGAAUCCCUUGAAGUCCAAAUAUUGCUUCUGGUUCAUGCCAUAGCCAUUCGGAGAAAUGAACCAUCCCAGUAGAAGAAGAAAAGUAAACUAAAGCAGAAGAUGGGUUUAGAAACAUAGCCUAUUAGCCUGUAUUUUUUUAUGUGUUUUGACGAAUGGAAAUUAGGAAAUCUGGGUUACUGUAUUCUAGUGGUUUCGUGUAAUGCAACAUUGCCCGGAUUGACUUGUAGCAGCAACCCCUCUUUUGUUCUCCUUUUACUUAUCUAUUACAUUUGAUCAGGUCUAUUGAGGAUUGGAAUGGAAGAUUUUUAGGAUUGCAUGGCAUUGUUUCCUUAUAUUGUUAACAAUUACGUAUGUCAGUGUAAGAAUCUCCUAUUAUUAAGGGAAUUGUUUUAUCCA